rnacentral:ncRNA from 1 species
CCAAAGUUUAAUUUUGGCUUAAAAAUUAACUAUUUUAUUUAUUUAUAUGCGAUUUAUUAGGUUAAAUUAAUCUUAAAAAGAUUUUUGGUUAAAGCAGUAUGUAGAAUUAAGCAUUAAGGAAAUUUAGACUUAGAAAUUAUUUAAUAGUACAGACUUAAUUUGUGCCAGCAGUUGCGGUUAUACAGAUUGUGCAGGUUAAUUUUAUUUAAUUUAAUUAAAUGUAAAAUAUUAUAUAGAUAAAGGAUAGAUUUAUUAGGUGAAAUUUUAAAUUUAUUUUUUCUAUUUAAGUGAUGUUGAAGUUAGGAAAUUUCUAUUUAAACUAGGAUUAGAUACCCUAUUAUUGGAAAAGUUAUAUUAAAGUUAAAAUUACUAAUAGCUAUGAUCUUUAAAAUUAAAAAAUUUGGCGGUAUCUUAGUCUAUUCAGAGGAACCUGUUUCAUAAUUGAUAGUCCACGAUAAUCUUUACUUAAAAUUUAAAUUUGUAUAUCGCCGUAGUUAGAAUAUUUUAGUAGAAUAGAAAUGUUCAAGGUUCUAAAUUAAGAAGGAAUUCAGGUCAAGGUGCAGUUGAUUUUUAAGUAGAAAUGGGUUACAUUGUAUUUAUAUUUGGUCUUUGAACUUGAAAAGUCUAAGUAAAUUGGAUUUGAUAGUAAUUUGAUAUGUUUAUUUCAAAUGAUUAUGCUCUAAGAUAUGUACAUAUCGCCCGUCACUUUCACCUAAGGUGAAAUAAGUCGUAACAGAGUAGGCCUAUUGGAAAAUGGGCCUAGAAUG